rnacentral:rRNA from 1 species
UACAGAGGUCUCAAGCGUUGUUCGGAUUCAUUGGGCGUAAAGGGUGCGUAGGUGGCAUGGUAAGUCAGACGUGAAAUCCCCAGGCUUAACCUGGGAACUGCAUCCGAUACUGGAUGGCUUGAAUCCGGGAGAGGGAUGCAGAAUUCCAGGUGUAGCGGUGAAAUGCGUAGAUAUCUGGAGGAAUACCGGUGGCGAAGGCGGCAUCCUGGACCGGCAUUGACGCUGAGGAGCGAAAGCUAGGGGAGCAAACGGG